AUACGAAGGGGGCUAGCGUUGCUCGGAAUGACUGGGCGUAAAGGGCGUGUAGGCGGUUUACACAGUCAGAUGUGAAAUCCCCGGGCUUAACCUGGGAGCUGCAUUUGAUACGUGUAGACUAGAGUGUGAGAGAGGGUUGUGGAAUUCCCAGUGUAGAGGUGAAAUUCGUAGAUAUUGGGAAGAACACCGGUGGCGAAGGCGGCAACCUGGCUCAUUACUGACGCUGAGGCGCGAAAGCGGUGGGGAGC
rnacentral:rRNA from 1 species